UACGUAGGCAGCGAGCGUUGUUCGGAGUUACUGGGCGUAAAGGGUGUGUAGGCGGUUAUUUAAGUUUGGUGUGAAAUCUCCCGGCUCAACUGGGAGGGUGCGCCGAAUACUGAAUGACUUGGAGUGCGGGAGAGGUGAGUGGAAUUCCUGGUGUAGCGGUGAAAUGCGUAGAUAUCAGGAGGAACACCGGUGGUGUAGACGGCUCACUGGACCGUAACUGACGCUGAGACACGAAAGCGUGGGUAGCAAACAGG
rnacentral:rRNA from 1 species